CCCAGACUCCUACGGGAGGCAGCAGUGGGGGAUAUUGCACAAUGGGGGGAACCCUGAUGCAGCGACGCCGCGUGGGCGAUGGAGCGCUUCGGCAUGUAAAGCCCUAUCAGCAGGGAAGAAAAUGACGGUACCUGACUAAGAAGCCCCGGCUAAAUACGUGCCAGCAGCCGCGGUAAUACGUAUGGGGCAAGCGUUAUCCGGAUUUACUGGGUGUAAAGGGAGCGUAGGCGGGGAUGCAAGUUGGGUGUCAAAACUACCGGCUCAACCGAUAGUCGCACUCAAAACUGCAGCUCUUGAGUGAAGUAGAGGCAGGCGGAAUUCCUAGUGUAGCGGUGAAAUGCGUAGAUAUUAGGAGGAACACCAGUGGCGAAGGCGGCCUGCUGGGCUUUUACUGACGCUGAGGCUCGAAAGUGUGGGGAGCAAACAGGAUUAGAUACCCGCGUAU
rnacentral:rRNA from 1 species